AGUGAACGCUGGCGAUAGGCCUAACACAUGCAAGUCGAACGGCAGCACAGUAAGGGCUUGCUCUUACGGGUGGCGAGUGGCGGACGGGUGAGGAAUACAUCGGAAUCUACUUUUUCGUGGGGGAUAACGUAGGGAAACUUACGCUAAUACCGCAUACGACCUACGGGUGAAAGCAGGGGAUCUUCGGACCUUGCGCGAUUGAAUGAGCCGAUGUCGGAUUAGCUAGUUGGCGGGGUAAAGGCCCACCAAGGCGACGAUCCGUAGCUGGUCUGAGAGGAUGAUCAGCCACACUGGAACUGAGACACGGUCCAGACUCCUACGGGAGGCAGCAGUGGGGAAUAUUGGACAAUGGGCGCAAGCCUGAUCCAGCCAUACCGCGUGGGUGAAGAAGGCCUUCGGGUUGUAAAGCCCUUUUGUUGGGAAAGAAAAGCAGCAGGUUAAUACCCCGCUGUUCUGACGGUACCCAAAGAAUAAGCACCGGCUAACCUCGUG
rnacentral:rRNA from 1 species